AUGUCAAACAAGGAAUACUGGGCCAUGAAGAAAAGUGGCAAGCACCAGAGAGUACAUAAGACUCUCCCAUCAAAUGACUUCAAAAACUCAGAUGCAGUUAACCCUGGUAACAACUGAUAUGGGGCUUAUGGGGCUGGGCCCCACAGGGAGCCUGUUGAGAAGAAGAUGCAGGAUUUCAAAGGUGGUGAUGAUGGUACAGGACUUCUUAUGGAAAAGAGGAAGCAGUUUAAAAAGGAUGUAAAUGCCUCUUUCAGAAGUCUGAAUGAAAACCUCCAGAGCAUU
rnacentral:lncRNA from 1 species